GGAGCUAUCGCCCAACAGGAGGGCACACGACUGAAGCUCGUGACGGUGAGGGUGCAAAUCCCUCUAGCUCCA
rfam:Candidatus Parvarchaeum acidophilus ARMAN-5 ARM5contig_1606, whole genome shotgun sequence.